GACAGGACGCCAGGCAACAGCGCACUACUGAUCCCCUCCGUGUCUCAUCGCCUUGGACCCCUGGCUGCAAAGGAGGUCUUGGGUACUGGGAGGGCAGAGGGAACGCAACUCUUUUGGCGGUCCAGCCGGCCUCGGACUUCCGGCCCGCACGACUUCUGUGCGCCGCGGAGGCCCCGCGCCCCCAGAGGAAGGGGAGACAAAAUUCGCUACAGGAGCCCGUGGUCCCGCAGAGCAGAGUGAAAUAGGCAAUUAAGGUGCUGGCAACGAGGAGCUCUGCGAAGAACGCAGGAAGGAGGGUACAGGGUGCAAGCGGCUCAGAGCCGCUGGGGACGAGCCUUUGGAGUUCAACACACCAUCCGAGGAAUCGAGCAGCAGUUCCCUACCGGUGCAGCGCCAGUGGGAGGCGUAAAUUUGAAAGUUGUCAGCCAAUCGCUGGUGUCAAGGCCACGAAACCUGGUGAGCUCACCAAGAAAGUGCGUGUAAAGGACAGGGACUGAGCCCUAGGACACUCGGAGACUUUGAGAAAGGAGAGGAAGCAUUAUGGAAGGCUGGGAAAGAGUGCCCAGUGAGGAGGAACGACACAGGGCAGCGUGCUGUUGCGGAGGCCGCGUGGAGGAGUGUGGACACGGAAGGUCCAGUGCUGCAGAGAGGGAGGAAGUUGAGGACCCGGUGGAGCAGGGCUCUGCGGAGGAGGGAGGACAAGCGAGAUGGUGGCAGCACCUGUGAAUGUCCUUUGGGAGGAGGUCUCCUGUAAAGGGAACCAGCAAAAUGGAAUGCCAACUGCAGGAGACCGUAAGACUAAGGAAGGAUUCAGGACAGAGGAGAAAGGAUUUUGCAGAUGUCUAUUAAGGGACCAUGAGGACAAGGUUACCCUUCCUGCUUUGUGAGGCUGAGUGGAAGGAGCAGGCAGAUCAGUUAGGAGGAGCUGACAACAGACCAGAAGAAAGAUGAUGGUGGUCUGGUAGUCUAAAAGAAGUGGUCUGGAGGAUAGAUCCAAGAUGGCAGAGGACUGAGUAGAAGCUACACUAACCUCCUCCCAGGACCAAUUGGGAAUUAUAAAUAAAUUGCAGAGAAAUCAUCCAGAAUAAACAACUGAACAGUAUCAGGAGAGAAGCUUUAUAACUAUGGACGGACAGAAGAAACAGCUUCACCACAACAUGACUGGCACAGAGGAAUGUGAGAGGGCUGGCUGGGCUCCCACAGGCAGCAGCUGAAGUGCUGGAGGAAUAUUUCAGCGGCCAGGAGGACCCCAAUGAGGAGUGUGGGGUCUAAACCCCAAGCUGGGAAAAAGACUACAGCACCAGAGCCUGAAAAGUACUCGUAUAAAGUCCAUCUGAGAAAAGUGGUAGGGUUUCUCUCUGCCAGAGACAGACAGCUAGAGAUGCAGAGAGCCUUUUAAGGAGACAACACAUAAAUUUUCAUUUGCAGCCACUUACCCUGGGCUCUGGCAAAGGGAAGGCAGAGUGGACUAGAGACACCUGAGGAGAGACUGGGGCCGGUGGCUUCAGGGAGAGAACUGAGAGAGCAGCCACCAGGAUCCCUGUGCUGAGUCACCCUUCACACUGUAGCAGCCACCUCUCUCAGGCACACCACCCCGCCACUGAGUGGCAUUAGUCUGAGGGGAAGCAAUAGCCCCA